rnacentral:rRNA from 1 species
ACCAGACUCCUACGGGAGGCAGCAGUGGGGAAUAUUGCACAAUGGGGGGAACCCUGAUGCAGCGACGCCGCGUGGGUGAAGAAGCGCCUCGGCGCGUAAAGCCCUGUCAGCAGGGAAGAAAAUGACGGUACCUGAGGAAGAAGCCCCGGCUAACUACGUGCCAGCAGCCGCGGUAAUACGUAGGGGGCAAGCGUUAUCCGGAUUUACUGGGUGUAAAGGGGGCGCAGACGGCGAUGCAAGCCAGGAGUGAAAGCCCGGGGCCCAACCCCGGGACUGCUCUUGGAACUGCGUGGCUGGAGUGCAGGAGGGGCAGGCGGAAUUCCUGGUGUAGCGGUGAAAUGCGUAGAUAUCAGGAGGAACACCGGUGGCGAAGGCGGCCUGCUGGACUGCAACUGACGUUGAGGCCCGAAAGCGUGGGGAGCAAACAGGAUUAGAUACCCUAGUA